AAAGCUUAUGUUCAGUGGACCACAUGAUGUUGUCAAACACGCUGCUUCACGUGGAGAAUUCAUUCUGACUUGGACACCAUCUGAGAAUGAAGAUGGAGAAGAUCACCCCAUCUGCUUUGUAGUCCAAGCAGAGGAAAACACAGCCAAGUAUCACUCUGAGCUACGCUGUGUUAUUGUGAGCGUCCACAUUAGACCAAUCACCACAUC